rnacentral:rRNA from 1 species
CCUACGGGAGGCUGCAGUGGGGAAUUUUGGACAAUGGGGGCAACCCUGAUCCAGCCAUUCCGCGUGAGUGAAGAAGGCCUUCGGGUUGUAAAGCUCUUUCGGCAGGAACGAAACGGUGAGCUCUAACAUAGCUUGCUAAUGACGGUACCUGAAGAAGAAGCACCGGCUAACUACGUGCCAGCAGCCGCGGUAAUACGUAGGGUGCGAGCGUUAAUCGGAAUUACUGGGCGUAAAGCGUGCGCAGGCGGUUGUGUAAGACAGGUGUGAAAUCCCCGGGCUUAACCUGGGAACUGCGCUUGUGACUGCACAGCUAGAGUAUGGCAGAGGGGGGUGGAAUUCCACGUGUAGCAGUGAAAUGCGUAGAGAUGUGGAGGAACACCGAUGGCGAAGGCAGCCCCCUGGGCCAAUACUGACGCUCAUGCACGAAAGCGUGGGGAGCAAACAGGAUUAGAUACCCUAGUAGUC